rnacentral:rRNA from 2 species
CGAGCUCAGGACGAACGCUGGCGGCGUGCCUAAUACAUGCAAGUCGAACGAACUCUGGUAUUGAUUGGUGCUUGCAUCAUGAUUUACAUUUGAGUGAGUGGCGAACUGGUGAGUAACACGUGGGAAACCUGCCCAGAAGCGGGGGAUAACACCUGGAAACAGAUGCUAAUACCGCAUAACAACUUGGACCGCAUGGUCCGAGCUUGAAAGAUGGCUUCGGCUAUCACUUUUGGAUGGUCCCGCGGCGUAUUAGCUAGAUGGUGGGGUAACGGCUCACCAUGGCAAUGAUACGUAGCCGACCUGAGAGGGUAAUCGGCCACAUUGGGACUGAGACACGGCCCAAACUCCUACGGGAGGCAGCAGUAGGGAAUCUUCCACAAUGGACGAAAGUCUGAUGGAGCAACGCCGCGUGAGUGAAGAAGGGUUUCGGCUCGUAAAACUCUGUUGUUAAAGAAGAACAUAUCUGAGAGUAACUGUUCAGGUAUUGACGGUAUUUAACCAGAAAGCCACGGCUAACUACGUGCCAGCAGCCGCGGUAAUACGUAGGUGGCAAGCGUUGUCCGGAUUUAUUGGGCGUAAAGCGAGCGCAGGCGGUUUUUUAAGUCUGAUGUCGAAAGCCUUCGGCUCAACCGAAGAAGUGCAUCGGAAACUGGGAAACUUGAGUGCAGAAGAGGACAGUGGAACUCCAUGUGUAGCGGUGAAAUGCGUAGAUAUAUGGAAGAACACCAGUGGCGAAGGCGGCUGUCUGGUCUGUAACUGACGCUGAGGCUCGAAAGUAUGGGUAGCAAACAGGAUUAGAUACCCUGGUAGUCCAUACCGUAAACGAUGAAUGCUAAGUGUUGGAGGGUUUCCGCCCUUCAGUGCUGCAGCUAACGCAUUAAGCAUUCCGCCUGGGGAGUACGGCCGCAAGGCUGAAACUCAAAGGAAUUGACGGGGGCCCGCACAAGCGGUGGAGCAUGUGGUUUAAUUCGAAGCUACGCGAAGAACCUUACCAGGUCUUGACAUACUAUGCAAAUCUAAGAGAUUAGACGUUCCCUUCGGGGACAUGGAUACAGGUGGUGCAUGGUUGUCGUCAGCUCGUGUCGUGAGAUGUUGGGUUAAGUCCCGCAACGAGCGCAACCCUUAUUAUCAGUUGCCAGCAUUAAGUUGGGCACUCUGGUGAGACUGCCGGUGACAAACCGGAGGAAGGUGGGGAUGACGUCAAAUCAUCAUGCCCCUUAUGACCUGGGCUACACACGUGCUACAAUGGAUGGUACAACGAGUUGCGAACUCGCGAGAGUAAGCUAAUCUCUUAAAGCCAUUCUCAGUUCGGAUUGUAGGCUGCAACUCGCCUACAUGAAGUCGGAAUCGCUAGUAAUCGCGGAUCAGCAUGCCGGGUGGA